rnacentral:rRNA from 1 species
CACACCGUAAACGAUGAUUACUAGGUGUGGGGAGAUUGACCCUCUCCGUGCCGCAGUUAACACAAUAAGUAAUCCACCUGAGUAGUACGGCCGCAAGGUUGAAACUCAAAGGAAUUGACGGGGGCCCGCACAAGCAGUGGAGUAUGUGGUUUAAUUCGACGCUACGCGAAGAACCUUACCAGGUCUUGACAUCCGACUAACGAAGCAGAGAUGCAUCAGGUGCCCUUCGGGGAAAGUCGAGACAGGUGG